rnacentral:rRNA from 1 species
GACGAACGCUGGCGGCGUGCUUAACACAUGCAAGUCGAACGAAGAGCGAUGGAAGCUUGCUUCUAUCGAUCUUAGUGGCGAACGGGUGAGUAACGCGUAAUCAACCUGCCCUUCAGAGGGGGACAACAGUUGGAAACGACUGCUAAUACCGCAUACGAUCUAAUCUCGGCAUCGAGGAUAGAUGAAAGGUGGCCUCUACAUGUAAGCUAUCACUGAAGGAGGGGAUUGCGUCUGAUUAGCUAGUUGGAGGGGUAACGGCCCACCAAGGCGAUGAUCAGUAGCCGGUCUGAGAGGAUGAACGGCCACAUUGGGACUGAGACACGGCCCAGACUCCUACGGGAGGCAGCAGUGGGGAAUCUUCCGCAAUGGACGAAAGUCUGACGGAGCAACGCCGCGUGAGUGAUGACGGCCUUCGGGUUGUAAAGCUCUGUUAAUCGGGACGAAAGGCCUUCUUGCGAAUAGUGAGAAGGAUUGACGGUACCGGAAUAGAAAGCCACGGCUAACUACGUG